UUGAUGAUGGUGGAGAAAAUAGACGGAUUCCCACUGUUUAAAUCCAUGAUUUCAAUAACCAGCUACUUGUGACUCUU
rnacentral:snoRNA from 1 species